AAUUGUGAAAAUUUUUGUGUGAAUUAAGCCCAAUCCUGUCUGAUCUCAGAAGCUAAGCAGGGUCAGACCUGGUUAGUGCUUGGAUGGGAGACCACUUAGGAAGACCAGGUCUGUAGGUG
rnacentral:rRNA from 1 species